CCCUUCGCAACCCCUGCUUUCAGUUACCAACGGGUCAUGCCGGGAACUCUGGAGAGACUGCCCAGGAGAACGGGGAGGAAGGUGGGGAUGACGUCAAGUCAGCAUGGCCUUUAUGCCUGGGGCCACACACGUGCUACAAUGGCCGGUACAAAGCGCUGCAAACUCGUAAGGGGGAGCCAAUCGCAAAAAACCGGCCUCAGUUCAGAUUGAGGUCUGCAACUCGACCUCAUGAAGGCGGAAUCGCUAGUAAUCCCGGAUCAGCACGCCGGGGUGAAUACGUUCCCGGGCCUUGUACACACCGCCCGUCACACCACGAAAGUUUGUUGUACCUGAAGUCGUUGGCGCCAACCGCAAGGAGGCAGACGCCCACGGUAUGACCGAUGAUUGGGGUGAAGUCGUAACAAGGUAAAGGG
rnacentral:rRNA from 1 species